AAAUAAACCAAAAAAAAAAAACAAUCUACACGCUGUAAAUACAAGCACAUUAUCCAAAUAAUGAAGACUUCACACAGUAGCAUUUGACAACCACAUUCCUAUGAUACCGACAAGCCUCACACCUGUGCUUUUUUUCCUGAACUGCUGUUUAUCUAACGUACAGUAUGUGGACUUCAUCAAUGUGUCACCAUGAAUCUGAUUUUUAUUUUUACCUUUUUUUUAAAUCCCCUUAAAGUGAUGUGUGUAUUGUAGUUGUUAAAUGUGACAAAAAAAAUUCACGACACUUUAAUGCAUCACUUAAUGAACUGUGACGGGAUUGAUUGAGGUGUUUACUGAGUGUUGUAAAAGACGAGGAUGGCACUGCUCAUUGUUAAGAACUUUUAAAGAGGUCAUGUUGUGCACUUCUUUUACUUAGAUAAUACGGUACACCAGGGGACUCACGAAGACGUGUGUACACAGUGUGUGUACGC